rnacentral:rRNA from 1 species
UACGUAGGGUGCAAGCGUUGUCCGGAAUUAUUGGGCGUAAAGAGCUCGUAGGCGGUCUGUCGCGUCUGCUGUGAAAACCUAGGGCUUAACUCUGGGCGUGCAGUGGGUACGGGCAGGCUAGAGUGCGGUAGGGGAGACUGGAAUCCUGGUGUAGCGGUGAAAUGCGCAGAUAUCAGGAGGAACACCGGUGGCGAAGGCGGGUCUCUGGGCCGUAACUGACGCUGAGGAGCGAAAGCAUGGGGAGCGAACAGG